AACAGGAAUGUUAUAAGGUUGUUUUAGCAAGUCUGAUACAGACAUGAUAUAACAAGAAUGUUUCAAGGUCAACGGUUAUAUCAUGACUGUAUCGGACUUGUAAGAACAACCUUGCAACAAGUCUGAU